AAACGGUUGCUAAUCACAGUAGCCGGAAAAAUUCUGUCAUCCGCGCGCUCGUAUUAUCGCAGAUUUUAGCAGCAGCAGCAGAAAUUGAAGCAACAAACUCUCCCAAAAAAGAAAAAUGGCCAACAAAGAAGCGGAUGCCGCUUGCAAGGAAGCAGCAGAAAAAGGUGCCGGAGGUGCCAAACAUGAUCCAUUUAAAUAUCGGAAUCCACUGCCGUUCAAUUUGAGAAAUCCGUACCUGUUCACGGCAAAAUUUUUCGCCAUCUGUUCCGUUGGCUUUGUGGCUCCCUGGCUGGUCGUGCUGUAUCAGAUGCACAAAUCCGCGCGGACUGGGUGAAUGUAUUAACUUAUUAACUUAUCGAUUUAUGUAAACGCACAUUUCAAAAUAAAUCUAUUUAGUUGAGUACAGCA